GACAGAGGGGGCAAGCGUUGCUCGGAAUCACUGGGCGUAAAGGGCGCGUAGGCGGGAUGGCAAGUCAGUCGUGAAAUCUCUCGGCUCAACCGAGAAACGUCGGCUGAUACUGCCGUUCUUGAGGGAUGCAGAGGAGACUGGAAUUCCCGGUGUAGCGGUGAAAUGUGUAGAGAUCGGGAGGAACACCGGUGGCGAAGGCGGGUCUCUGGGCAUUUCCUGGACGCUGAGGCGCGAAAAGCGUGGGGGAGCAAACGGG
rnacentral:rRNA from 1 species